UGGGGAAUAUUGCACAAUUGGCGCAAGCCUGAUGCAGCCAUGCCGCGUGUAUGAAGAAGGCCUUCGGGUUGUAAAGUACUUUCAGUCGGGAGGAAGGUGUCAAGGUUAAUAACCUUGGCAAUUGACGUUACCGACAGAAGAAGCACCGGCUAACUCCGUGCCAGCAGCCGCGGUAAUACGGAGGGUGCAAGCGUUAAUCGGAAUUACUGGGCGUAAAGCGCACGCAGGCGGUUGAUUGAGUCAGAUGUGAAAUCCCCGGGCUUAACCCGGGAAUUGCAUCUGAUACUGGUCAGCUAGAGUCUUGUAGAGGGGGGUAGAAUUCCAUGUGUAGCGGUGAAAUGCGUAGAGAUGUGGAGGAAUACCGGUGGCGAAGACGGCCCCCUGGACAAAGACUGACGCUCAGGUGCGAAAGCGUGGGGAGCAAACAGG
rnacentral:rRNA from 1 species